GACGAACGCUGGCGGCGUGCUUAACACAUGCAAGUCGAACGGAAAGGCCCUGCUUUUGUGGGGUGCUCGAGUGGCGAACGGGUGUGUAACACGUGAGUAACCUGCCCUUGACUUUGGGAUAACUUCAGGAAACUGGGGCUAAUACCGGAUAGGAGCUCCUGCUGCAUGGUGGGGGUUGGACAGUUUCGGCGGUUGGGGAUGGACUCGCGGCUUAUCAGCUUGUUGGUGGGGUAGUGGCUUACCAAGGCUUUGACGGGUAGCCGGCCUGAGAGGGUGACCGGCCACAUUGGGACUGAGAUACGGCCCAGACUCCUACGGGAGGCAGCAGUGGGGAAUAUUGCACAAUGGGCGGAAGCCUGAUGCAGCAACGCCGCGUGCGGGAUGACGGCCUUCGGGUUGUAAACCGCUUUCGCCUGUGACGAAGCGUGAGUGACGGUAAUGGGUAAAGAAGCACCGGCUAACUACGUG
rnacentral:rRNA from 1 species